AGAUUGAACGCUGGCGGCAUGCCUUACACAUGCAAGUCGAACGGCAGCACGGGAGCAAUCCUGGUGGCGAGUGGCGAACGGGUGAGUAAUAUAUCGGAACGUGCCCAGUCGUGGGGGAUAACGUAGAGAAAUUUACGCUAAUACCGCAUACGACCCAAGGAUGAAAGCGGGGACCGUAGGCCUCGCGCGACUGGAGCGGCUGACUAUCAGAUUAGCUUAGUUGGUGAGGUAAAGCUCACAAGCGACGAUCUGUAGCUGGUUUGAGGGAACGACCAGCCACGACUGGGACUGAGACACGGCCCAGACCGUACCUACGGGACGG
rnacentral:rRNA from 1 species